ensembl:lncRNA
GUUUUGACCCUUAUCCAUUGUAAACGUUCGGUGUAUCUCGUCUCUUGUAUGCGUCGCUUGUGCGAGGUGCUGGUUGCCAUGGUUUCGAUGGUAUUGGCGGAUGCUUUCAGUUAGCUAAUCCUGCUCGAUGCUCUCCAAACCCUGAGAUGAAUGCACUUGAUGCCAGAUGCAGCUGGCCCUGCAUUCAGUCCUGAGCAUUCACAGACCCAUCGACUGAAUACAGCAGCUAGUCAAGCGCCCGCUCUCUCCGCUUGACAUGAUGCUGCUGUCUCGUCUGCUCCUUCCAGAAAUACAGCACUAAACCUCCACAAUCACAGCAGACCUGCUUCAUUUACCAAAGCCGGAGAGAGAUAUUCAUCAACUGAAUGUUUCAAACUAGGUUUAAUGUUGCUGGAAUGCAUAAUGUAAUCUUCACCAGUUUGCAACAUUGUCUGCCAUUUAGCUGGCAAUAUGAAGCAUUCGCAACCCAUUUUGCUUCUGUAAUGUGACGUAUUUAUGAACGAAUCAGGAUAUCC